CAUCGUUGGGGGGUGUCGGUGCUCCCCCGGCUGAGGGCUGGGUUGGGCGUGCUGCUCGUGCUUGCCUGCUCCUGGCCGGCCGCGAUGG
rnacentral:tRNA from 1 species